UACAGAGGUCUCAAGCGUUGUUCGGAUUCAUUGGGCGUAAAGGGUGUGUAGGUGGCGCCGUAAGUCGGGUGUGAAAUUUCGGAGCUUAACUCCGAAACUGCAUUCGAUACUGCGGUGCUUGAGGACUGGAGAGGAGACUGGAAUUCAUGGUGUAGCAGUGAAAUGCGUAGAGAUGUGGAGGAACACCGAUGGCGAAGGCAGCCCCCUGGGCUGAGAUUGACGCUCGAGGCACGAAAGCGUGGGGAGCAAACAGG
rnacentral:rRNA from 1 species